rnacentral:pre_miRNA from 1 species
GGGGGGAGGCUGGAUCCUGGGCUAUGUCCCAGCGCCCUGUGCUCCCGGGGCCUGUGCUGUUGGAUUCGCGCUCCCGGCAGCACAGCCCCCU